CCUACGGGGGGCUGCAGUGAGGAAUAUUGGUCAAUGGGCGCAAGCCUGAACCAGCCAAGUCGCGUGAGGGAUGACGGUCCUAUGGAUUGUAAACCUCUUUUGUCGGGGAGCAAGGCCCGCCACGUGUGGCGGGAAGGAGAGUACCCGAAGAAAAAGCAUCGGCUAACUCCGUGCCAGCAGCCGCGGUAAUACGGAGGAUGCGAGCGUUAUCCGGAUUUAUUGGGUUUAAAGGGUGCGUAGGCGGAAGGUUAAGUCAGCGGUAAAAUGUCGGUGCUCAACACCGGCCUGCCGUUGAAACUGGUCUUCUUGAGUGAGCGAGAAGUAUGCGGAAUGCGUGGUGUAGCGGUGAAAUGCAUAGAUAUCACGCAGAACUCCGAUUGUGAAGGCAGCAUACCGGCGCUCAACUGACGCUGAGGCACGAAAGCGUGGGGAUCGAACAGGAUUAGAUACCCCAGUAGUC
rnacentral:rRNA from 1 species